GAAAUGCGAUAAGUAAUGUGAAUUGCAGAAUUCAGUGAAUCAUCGAAUCUUUGAACGCACAUUGCGCCCGCCAGUAUUCUGGCGGGCAUGCCUGUUCGAGCGUCAUUACAACCCUCAGGCCCCCGGGCCUGGCGUUGGGGAUCGGCGGAAGCCCCCUGCGGGCACAACGCCGUCCCCCAAAUACAGUGGCGGUCCCGCCGCAGCUUCCAUUGCGUAGUAGCUAACACCUCGCAACUGGAGAGCGGCGCGGCCACGCCGUAAAACACCCAACUUCUGAAUGUUGACCUCGAAUCAGGGAGGAAUACCCGCUGAACUUAGGC
rnacentral:misc_RNA from 1 species